GGACUACUAGGGUAUCUAAUCCGGAUCGCUCCCCACGCUUUCGCUCAUGAGUGUCAGGACCAGUCCAGGAUGCCGCCUUCGCCGCUGGUGUUCCUCCGGAUCUCUACGCAUUCCACCACUACACCCGGAAUUCCGCAUCCCCCUACUGGCCUCCAGUCCGCCCGUAUCGCACGACACUCCCCAGUUGAGCCGGGGUCUUUCACGCACGACGCAACGAACCACCUGCGAGCGCUUUACGCCCAAUAAAUCCGGACAACGCUUGCCCCCUACGUAUUACCGCGGCGGCUGGCAC
rnacentral:rRNA from 1 species